CCCACAUUUUGAGCUCUGCAAGAACAAGAAGCAACACAGGGGUGAAGGAGGGUGUAGCUAGCUUGGGAAGAAGGUGGAAUCCCAGCCAAAAGGAGGAAUCUACGAAGGUGAAGGAGAAGCUCACUGGUGCACAAAACAGUGUGCACCAUAUGAGACACGGGACUAGCCAACGGCCCUAGGCAGGGACCAUUGGCAAGUCCCGUUGGGCAAAAUCUGUGCAGUGGUCGAGCCCUUGUGGCUCAGCUACGUGUCGUUUCGGACUGGAACUCGCGUUCCCUUGAGGCUCGAACACUCGGGAUCGUCACGACGCACGAGUAGAAUUUGAUUUCAUUGAAUUCGGAGUAGAAUUGAGCAUUUUGUGAUAGAAAUUGUAAGAAAUAUGCUACAGAAGUUGUCUGAGAGUAAUUACAGUGAAUGAAAAUGCUAAG